CCUACGGGAGGCAGCAGUGAGGAAUAUUGGUCAAUGGACGAGAGUCUGAACCAGCCAAGUAGCGUGAAGGAUGACUGCCCUAUGGGUUGUAAACUUCUUUUAUAUGGGAAUAAAAUGUUCCACGUGUGGGAUUUUGUAUGUACCAUAUGAAUAAGGAUCGGCUAACUCCGUGCCAGCAGCCGCGGUAAUACGGAGGAUCCGAGCGUUAUCCGGAUUUAUUGGGUUUAAAGGGAGCGUAGGUGGAUUGUUAAGUCAGUUGUGAAAUUUUGGGGCUCAACCGCGAAAUUGCAGUUGAAACUGGAAGUCUUGAGUGUAGUAGAGGUAGGCGGAAUUCGUGGUGUAGCGGUGAAAUGCGUAGAUAUCACGAAGAACACCGAUUGCGAAGGCAGCUUACUGGACUGUAACUGACGCUGAGGCUCGAAAGUGUGGGUAGCAAACAGGAUUAGAUACCCGUGUAGUC
rnacentral:rRNA from 1 species